GUGUUGCGCACACACACUUGUCUUUUAAAAAGUCGUAGCGAACGUAACUCUGAAGAUUUCUUACCGUGUGUUUGGAGAGGAGCAGUCGUAACUGUUGGAGGGUUUACACCAAAUUGAAAGCUUUUUUGGACAACGGCGUAACCAGAAGAAAGGGAAUACCUGGAGAGAGUUUUUUUAGACAGGAAAACGAGUGUGUCAGCAUCACCAAGUCACAAAAUGAACUCAAAGGCUUUCCUCUUCCUUGCGAUUGUCGUGACGAUGACGUGUUCAUUCUCGGAGGCAGGCAACUACUGGCAGACGAGAGGUAGACCGGGUGGCUCCAACUUCCGGUCGAACUUCAGGAAAAGACUGGUCCCCGUUUCUCGGCUGAUCAGACCGGAGGUUUUGGAGAAAAUAAUGGAGGAAUGGGACAAUGGCAACACCGACUUCGACAUCUAUUAAAUCUUCGCCUUCUGUUACAAAAAAUUUGAGACGUCAUUCCUUUUGUGCCAUCUUUUCAAACAUUUGAGACGCCCUUACUAAGAAGAUCUCCGGAGCCUUGUGACUUCUCCCAACUAACCGCAAGAGGGCAGCAUUCCACUGACUCGCAGUACCCCAUCCAUACAUAGCCUUGCGAAUCCCCGUCAAGGGCAUGCGAAGAAGUUUGACAUUCCUGUACCCGAACUAGUAGGUCCGGCCAGUAACUAUGUACAAGUGUACCACAUCACUUUGAACUUUUUGACUGCAAUUAAUUACAAUAAUGACGACGAAUUGUUAGCCGUUCGCAGGACUAUAAGAGGCCAAAGUAUUUUUGAUCUUUCAUUUUUGGGGGGUUGAGAAAAACCUUGUUGUCCCCAUCUUCUUCUCUUCCACUUUUAUUCGUGUCCUCACUUCCUUCUGCUUGUAGGUAAAUUUUGUUGUGGAUUGUUAUGGCACACUAUUUAAACCAUCAGCACUUGGUAUUAUUUCCAGCAUUUUAAGAAGUUUAGACUAUAAGCCUAUUAUAUAUUUUAUUUAAAGAGUUAAAGAGUUGUAUAUUUAUUGUAACAGUUGGUAUAAUAAUAAAAUGCUUAAAUUUUAAUUGUA